rnacentral:rRNA from 1 species
AGUGAACGCUGGCGGUAGGCCUAACACAUGCAAGUCGAACGGCAGCACAGUAAGAUCUUGCUCUUACGGGUGGCGAGUGGCGGACGGGUGAGGAAUACAUCGGAAUCUACUUUUUCGGGGGGGAUAACGUAGGGAAACUUACGCUAAUACCGCACACGAUCUACGGGUGAAAUCAGGGGAGCUUCGGACCUUGCGCGACUGAAUGAGCCGGUGCCGGAUUAGCUAGUUGGCGGGGUAAGGGCCCACCAAGGCGACGAUCCGUAGCUGGUCUGAGAGGAUGAUCAGCCACACUGGAACUGAGACACGGUCCAGACUCCUACGGGAGGCAGCAGUGGGGAAUAUUCGACAAUGGGCGAAAGCCUGAUGCAGCCAUACCGCGUGGGUGAAGAAGGCCUUCGGGUUGUAAAGCCCUUUUAUUGGGAAAGAAAAGCAGUAGGUUAAUACCCCGCUGUUCUGACGGUACCCAAAGAGUAAGCACCGGCUAACUUCGUG